rnacentral:sRNA from 2 species
CACGAAGUAAUGCAGACUAAGAACGCCACGUCCUGUGGCAACGUCUGCAUUACCCCCACCCUGGGGG